UACAGAGGGUGCGAGCGUUAAUCGGAAUUACUGGGCGUAAAGCGUGCGUAGGCGGAAAAGUAAGUCAGAUGUGAAAGCCCUAGGCUCAACCUAGGAAUAGCAUUUGAAACUGCAGUUCUAGAGCAGAAUAGAGGAGAGUAGAAUUUCAGGUGUAGCGGUGAAAUGCGUAGAUAUCUGAAGGAAUACCAGUGGCGAAGGCGGCUCUCUGGAUUCAUGCUGACGCUGAGGCACGAAAGCGUGGGGAGCGAACAGG
rnacentral:rRNA from 1 species